AUGUGGAGGAAACACUUUCACAUUGAUUGCUAUGAAUGUGUACUAUGUGAUGAGACAUGUAUUGAGGACAAUGUGCAUAUGUUCUUCACUUGUGACUUUAGUCAAAACUUCUGGCUAUACUUGUGCAUGGAGUGGAACACUGACAUGAAUAUUAUAGAGAUGCUCAUCAAUGGUUGUAACAGGAUAAACUUCAUCUGAUUCAAAUAAAUCUUGAUCCCUGGAUGUUAGAGCAUAUGGAAUCACAUAAAUGGUAUUAUAUUUGAUAGCAAAGAUGUCAAUAUGGAUCAAUGCAUAUAUGCCUUCAAGGAAAGCUUCCAACUAGUGAUGAUCAAGGCCAAACCUAGUCUUAAAGAAGGAAUGCAGCAGUGACUUGACUCUUUGUAG
rnacentral:rRNA from 1 species